GCUCUCGGGUGACGAGUGGCGGACGGGUGAGUAAUGUCUGGGGAUCUGCCCGAUAGAGGGGGAUAACCACUGGAAACGGUGGCUAAUACCGCAUAACGUCGCAAGACCAAAGAGGGGGACCUUCGGGCCUCUCACUAUCGGAUGAACCCAGAUGGGAUUAGCUAGUAGGCGGGGUAACGGCCCACCUAGGCGACGAUCCCUAGCUGGUCUGAGAGGAUGACCAGCCACACUGGAACUGAGACACGGUCCAGACUCCUACGGGAGGCAGCAGUGGGGAAUAUUGCACAAUGGGCGCAAGCCUGAUGCAGCCAUGCCGCGUGUAUGAAGAAGGCCUUCGGGUUGUAAAGUACUUUCAGCGGGGAGGAAGGCGAUGUGGUUAAUAACCGCGUCGAUUGACGUUACCCGCAGAAGAAGCACCGGCUAACUCCGUGCCAGCAGCCGCGGUAAUACGGAGGGUGCAAGCGUUAAUCGGAAUUACUGGGCGUAAAGCGCACGCAGG
rnacentral:rRNA from 1 species